GAACUUUUAACUCUUUGCUGAAUACACAUAAUUUUUGUUGAAAAGAUAUUGCCACAGCAGUUUGUGUGCUAUGAGGAAUUUUAGUUUAAGCACUGAUUUUAGCAUAUCAUGUGACUUUAUAAAGAACAUGCAAUUUGUUAAGCAUAAAUAUCUUUGCCCCUGAAUAUGGACAAUUAAAUCGUGGUGCCUUCACUAUCCCUUUUCACUCGAUUGUUUAGGGAUUGUGUCAUAGAAAAAACAGGUUCUCUUUUAAAUGUGUCAUUUUUAUCCAUGGUAAUGAGUUUUCCAUCAUGCCCCUUUUGAAAUCAUUUUCUUCUUAAGAAUUAUAGCUAAAAUUUUCAUGCAUUUCUUAAUAAAUUCUUGGGCAUGAACUCCCAUUUUGGUUUUGUAUUUUUGGAUGCUUUGGCACUGUCCUUCGGUUCUUAAAAUUUGGAAUUUCCUGACUUCCUACAUUCUGAAUUCCUUUUUUUUUUGUAUGACUCAUUGACUCUUCCUUAAUAAGCACUAUUUUCCUUUAGCUUCCACAUUUGGUGGUGAUGAUUGUUGAUUGUAGAUGGUGAUCCUUAGGUUUGGUUAAUGGUGAUGGUUGGGGAAUGGGGAGCACUUGUCUGCAGAGCUUUUACCGAACCAGAAAUCAAUCUCAGAAUGGUGAAGUUUGAGCAGAAGCUUCUGAGACUGUGAAGGGUAUUUUCCAGAGUCACUUUGUCAGGAACCUAACAAAUCGAUGAUUGAAGAGAUGACUAAGAAACUGUCUAGAACAGUCAAUGUAGAGACCUGGAAAUCCACAUUUGGUGAUAAAUUUCUUGCAUUAAAAUAGGCAAAUUUUCUGUCAUUUUUGAGUCCAUGCUACUCAUAAACAUUAGCACUAAUAACACAUCUACUUCAAAAGUAUUUUGAUUCUCAUCUCAGAUAAUUCACAUAUACUUGUUCGUUCAUUAUUUGUCAAUAUGUAUUGCAAGGCACCACAUACACAAACAAGGUCCUAGGCAUUGAUGUGGAUCUCAUCUAUCACCCAAAGGAAAAAGGGAAAGUAAUCUGUAUUUGUGCAUUACUAAAAUCCAGGGAUAGACUUCAGCAAUGUGCACACAAUGUCAAAUAUUUUUAUGAUGUUUGAUAGGUUGAAAUUCUGUUUAUAUUUUUUAUGAGAAUUAAGUAUGGGUAGACAUACAAUGCACCUAUUUCUUAGCUCUACUUAUUAUACUCUUAGACUCCUACAACACUAAGUAUAAAUAUUCUGAUAACUUUAAAAAUUGUGGAAAAUGUGUAUUAUUAAAAAACUAGGCUGGCGCCGUGGCUCGUGGCUCACUUGGCUAAUCCUCCGCCUGAGGCACCGGCACCCCAGGUUCUAGUCGCAGUCAUUGUGCAUUGUGCCGGAUUCUGUCCCGGUUGCUCCUCUUCCAGGCCAGCUCUCUGCUGUG
rnacentral:lncRNA from 1 species